UACGUAGGGUGCGAGCGUUGUCCGGAAUUAUUGGGCGUAAAGAGCUCGUAGGCGGUCUGUCGCGUCGGUCGUGAAAACCUGCAGCUUAACUGUGGGCUUGCGGUCGAUACGGGCAUGACUGGAGUUCGGCAGGGGAGACUGGAAUUCCUGGUGUAGCGGUGAAAUGCGCAGAUAUCAGGAGGAACACCGGUGGCGAAGGCGGGUCUCUGGGCCGAUACUGACGCUGAGGAGCGAAAGCGUGGGGGAGCAAACAGG
rnacentral:rRNA from 1 species